rnacentral:lncRNA from 1 species
CCCCUUGUCGACAACCUCUUUGAAUUUCAAAGAAUUCAGAUAAAAAACAAUUUUGAGAAACUGCAGAACUUAUAUUUUUGUAAAAGGUUCUUACCCAUUGUUUUAUAGAGGGGCCAAAAUUGAAAAAGUCUAAAACGUCUUCAAUGAAAUUCCAUGAUACAGAAUCAAAAGCUUUUUCAAAAUCUAUGAGAAGGAGCAGUCCUGGUAAAUCAUUUAGUUCUGUAUGAAAUAAUAUAUCGUAAAUAAGACGAGUAUUCUCCCCUAUAAAUCUACCCGGAAUAAAGCCAGUCUGAUCACUGUUAAUAAUUUGAGGUAGAACUAAUUUUAUACGCUCAGCUAUGCAGCUUGAUGCUAAUUUAUAUGUGGUAUUUAGUAAACUUAUUGGGCGCCAGUUUUUCAUGAAUUGUCUCGGUUUAUCUCCCUUUGGUAUACAGGUUAUAAUACCUUGUCUUUGAGUAAUUGAUAAUUCCCCUUUUCGUAACCAUUAAUUAUAGAACGAAAUACAAAUUUUCCUAUAUCUAUCCAAAAAAACUUGAAAAAUUCAUUUGUGAAACCAUCUGACCCAGGGCUUUUUUCAUUUUUUCAUUUUUCGCAAAGCAGUUGUCAAUUCACCAUAAGUAAUUUCACCCUCCAAAGAUUCUCUAAUGGUAUUAUUUAUUUUUUUAAUAUCAGUAUCAGGGAUUUCAUUGUUUAGGUUAACAUUAUUCAAACUUUCUGUUUUAGUAUAUAGCCUUUUGUAAUAAUUGUUUGCUUCUUUUAAUAUUUUAUCUUGCUCACUGAUAGUGUCCCCUUUUUCAUUGACUAAUUUUGGAAUAGUUUUUAUUUAUAAAAUGUUUAGUUUCUAAAUUUAGAAAAAAAGUUUGAAGGUUUUUCUCCUUCUUCUAUCCAUUGGAUUUUGGAUCUGAUGUAGGACCCCCUCAUCUUUUCUUGUCUUAAUACUUUUAGAUCAGUUUUCUUUUUUUCAGUUUCAAUAAAUAUUUCUUCCGUCAAUAUUUGUUCUUCUAGUUUUUUAAUAUCUUCUGAUAGUAUUCUUUCUUUUUUAUCUUUUUGUUUCUUCCUAAAAGAAGCAUAUGAAAUUGAUUUUCCUCUAAUUUCUGUUAAUAAAGUUUCUAGAAAGAGUUGAUCGUUUAUAGUAAAUUGAAUUUCUAAGUCAUUUAUCUUUUCUAAUGUUUCUCUCUUGUAUACUAGUGAUGCGUAUUGUUCUUUAACUUUAUUUAUAGUCUCUUU